rnacentral:piRNA from 1 species
GUAAUCUCUUGAGUAAAAAAGCCUAAGGUC